ensembl:processed_transcript
CGAUCGAGUACAGUGAACAGUGAUUUAAUGACUUUAGCGACUUGUUUUGCAUCUCAAACAGCAAAUAUUAUGUCAACUGUGUUUUUUACUCGAGAAAAUUUGAUCAAGCCUGUAUUUGACAACAAUAAUCAUCAGAGUGACACGAUGGCUUCUCCUACAACUUCUACCAUGACGAGAAGCCCAACAGAAAACCCAGAGAAAGGGAGGAAAGGGAAAAGAGUCUCUGCUUUCUUUAAGAGAGCAUGGAAGGCUGCAAAGCGCCCUUUCCUUAGCUGUGACCGGAGCAGAGUGGUUCCCUUUGAACCACAGUCGGAUGUCAAUGAUUUCGAGCAUCUGCCUGUUCCAGGUCCCUCCAGGACCGUCACGGCACAUGCAGACCCUGAGCCGGUGUGGCUGCCAGGCCAGGUCUGUGAAGAACCUCAGCCGUUGAGUGUUCCGGGCCCCUACAGAAUCAAGCAAACAGCAGAAGUGCCAAAUGCAGAUCGGGCCCGUCCUGAGUCCUCAACGGCCCUCACAGGUCAUGUUGACACUGAGCAGAUGCAUCCGCCAGUCCAGGACUGCGACAGUCUUGAGCACCAUCAGUGUCCAUGGCCCCUCCAAUACUAAGAAAAUGACGGAUGCAGAUUCGGACUGUCCUGAGUCGCCUCUGUCUGUUCAAGACCCCUCUAAAAUUGAUGGGACUGAAGAAAAACCCAGGAAAGGAAGGAAAUGGAAAAGAGUCUCUGCUUUCUUUAAGAGAGUAUGGAAGGCUGCAAAGCGUCCUUUCCUGUGCUGCGACACAGAUGAAGUCCCGCAUUUUACGCCACAGCCUGAGCCAGAGCCAGAGCCCGAGCCCGAGCCCGAGCU